rnacentral:rRNA from 1 species
AUUGAACGCUGGCGGCAUGCUUUACACAUGCAAGUCGAACGGUAACAGGCCGCAAGGUGCUGACGAGUGGCGAACGGGUGAGUAAUGCAUCGGAACGUGCCCAGUCGUGGGGGAUAACUACUCGAAAGAGUAGCUAAUACCGCAUACGAUCUAUGGAUGAAAGCGGGGGACCGUAAGGCCUCGCGCGAUUGGAGCGGCCGAUGUCAGAUUAGGUAGUUGGUGGGGUAAAGGCUCACCAAGCCAACGAUCUGUAGCUGGUCUGAGAGGACGACCAGCCACACUGGGACUGAGACACGGCCCAGACUCCUACGGGAGGCAGCAGUGGGGAAUUUUGGACAAUGGGCGCAAGCCUGAUCCAGCAAUGCCACGUGCAGGGAGAAGGCCUUCGGGUUGUAAACUGCUUUUGUACGGAACGAAACGGCUCUGGUUAAUACCCGGGGCUAAUGACGGUACCGUAAGAAUAAGCACCGGCUAACUACGUG